rnacentral:lncRNA from 1 species
GGCGACCGUGGCCUACGCAAGGGGGUGCCGGAGGCGGUCGUGGCUAUCCCAUCCCACCUUCUCCGCCGCCGUGUCUGCGCCUUUGAAGCCUUGAAAAAAUUCGAAGUUCGGAAAAGGGCUGUCUUAAAGAUGUCAGGAAAAAAGGAAGAACCAGACACCCUGCCACCCUUAAGAUGUGAACUUGUUCGGAAAAUGUAUUCCCCCAUCGCUACCUCCUCACCCUCUGUGGGAAUGGUGUGA